GCAUGGUUGUUCGGCGCGAAGCUGACGCCGCUGGCGCCGGCGUCUUUCGGGGCGACCGUGGCGUUCCAGCCGUCGAUCACGAC
rnacentral:tRNA from 1 species